UCAAACUUGGUCAUUUAGAGGAAGUAAAAGUCGUAACAAGGUUUCCGUAGGUGAACCUGCGGAAGGAUCAUUAAGGAAUGGGAGGGGGCGCCCGCGCGCCGGGGCCGGCCGACGCGGCCGACCGCGGCCCGGGGGUCGCCCCUCUCCCGCGCCCCCAACCCCUGUCUACCCGAUCGCGUUGCCUCGGCGGGGACGGUCGCCGCCCGACCCGCCGGGGGUUUGCCGAUAACGAUAUGUUCCUGUUUGUCUGUGAUGAUGUGAUAAUUAUUCAAAAAACUUUCAACAACGGAUCUCUUGGUUCCAGCAUCGAUGAAGAACGCAGC
rnacentral:misc_RNA from 1 species